GUGUGAGGUGGGAGGUUUAGUCGAGGCGAGGCGAGGGGUUUAGUCGAGGUGAAAAAUCAGAUUAAUUUCUAGGAAAA